GUUGUCCGGAAUUAUUGGGCGUAAAGAGUGUGUAGGUGGGGCUCUAAGUUCGGUGUGAAAUCUCCCGGCUUAACUGGGAGGGUGCGCCGGAAACUGGAGUGCUCGAACGUGGGAGAGGAAAGCGGAAUUCCUGGUGUAGCGGUGAAAUGCGUAGAUAUCAGGAGGAACACCUGCGGUGUAGACGGCUUUCUGGACCAUUGUUGACGCUGAGACACGAAAGCGUGGGUAGCAAACAGG
rnacentral:rRNA from 1 species